rnacentral:rRNA from 1 species
UACGUAGGGGGCAAGCGUUGUCCGGAAUCAUUGGGCGUAAAGAGCGCGUAGGCGGCCCGGUAAGUCCGCUGUGAAAGUCCAGGGCUCAACCACGGAAUGGCCUUCGAUACUGGACGGCUCGAGACCGGAAGAGGUGAGUGGAACUGCGAGUGUAGAGGUGAAAUUCGUAGAUAUUCGCAAGAACACCAGUGGCGAAGGCGGCUCACUGGUCCGGUUCUGACGCUGAGGCGCGAAAGCGUGGGGAGCAAACAGG